rnacentral:rRNA from 1 species
CAAACGACUCUCGGCAACGGAUAUCUCGGCUCUUGCAUCGAUGAAGAACGUAKCGAAAUGCGAUACUUGGUGUGAAUUGCAGAAUCCCGUGAACCAUCGAGUCUUUGAACGCAAGUUGCGCCCGAGGCCAUUAGGUCGAGGGCACGUCUGCCUGGGCGUCACAC